rnacentral:tRNA from 1 species
GCCGAGAUAGCUCAGUUGGUAGAGCACGCGACUGAAAAUCGCGGUGUCGCCAGUUCGAUUCUGGCUCUCGGCACCU